AUUGAACGCUGGCGGCAUGCUUACACAUGCAAGUCGAACGGCAGCACGGGAGCAAUCCUGGUGGCGAGUGGCGAACGGGUGAGUAAUACAUCGGAACGUGCCCAAUCGUGGGGGAUAACGCAGCGAAAGCUGUGCUAAUACCGCAUACGAUCUACGGAUGAAAGCAGGGGAUCGCAAGACCUUGCGCGAAUGGAGCGGCCGAUGGCAGAUUAGGUAGUUGGUGAGGUAAAGGCUCACCAAGCCGUCGAUCUGUAGCUGGUCUGAGAGGACGACCAGCCACACUGGGACUGAGACACGGCCCAGACUCCUACGGGAGGCAGCAGUGGGGAAUUUUGGACAAUGGGCGAAAGCCUGAUCCAGCCAUGCCGCGUGCAGGAUGAAGGCCUUCGGGUUGUAAACUGCUUUUGUACGGAACGAAACGGCCUUUUCUAAUAAAGAGGGCUAAUGACGGUACCGUAAGAAUAAGCACCGGCUAACUACGUGCCAGCAGCCGCGGUAAUACGUAGGGUGCAAGCGUUAAUCGGAAUUACUGGGCGUAAAGCGUGCGCAGGCGGUUAUGUAAGACAGUUGUGAAAUCCCCGGGCUCAACCUGGGAACUGCAUCUGUGACUGCAUAGCUAGAGUACGGUAGAGGGGGAUGGAAUUCCGCGUGUAGCAGUGAAAUGCGUAGAUAUGCGGAGGAACACCGAUGGCGAAGGCAAUCCCCUGGACCUGUACUGACGCUCAUGCACGAAAGCGUGGGGAGCAAACAGG
rnacentral:rRNA from 1 species